rnacentral:rRNA from 1 species
GUCCAGACUCCUACGGGAGGCAGCAGUCGGGAAUAUUGCGCAAUGGAGGAAACUCUGACGCAGUGACGCCGCGUAUAGGAAGAAGGUUUUCGGAUUGUAAACUAUUGUCGUUAGGGAAGAUACAAGACAGUACCUAAGGAGGAAGCCCCGGCUAACUAUGUGCCAGCAGCCGCGGUAAUACAUAGGGGGCAAGCGUUAUCCGGAUUUAUUGGGUGUAAAGGGUGCGUAGACGGAGAAACAAGUUGGUUGUGAAACCCCUCGGCUCAACUGAGGAACUGCAACCAAAACUAUUUCCCUUGAGUGUCGGAGAGGAAAGUGGAAUUCCUAGUGUAGCGGUGAAAUGCGUAGAUAUUAGGAGGAACACCAGUGGCGAAGGCGGCCUGCUGGACGAUGACUGACGUUGAGGCUCGAAAGCGUGGGGAGCAAACAGGAUUAGAUACCCUCGUAG